rnacentral:rRNA from 1 species
AUUGAACGCUGGCGGCAGGCCUAACACAUGCAAGUCGAGCGGAUGAAGGGAGCUUGCUCCUGUAUUCAGCGGCGGACGGGUGUGUAAUGCCUAGUAAUCUGCCUGGUAGUGGGGGAUAACGUCCGGAAACGGGCGCUAAUACCGCAUACGUCCUGAGGGAGAAAUUUGGGGAUCUUCGGACCUCACGCUAUCAGAUGUGCCUAGGUCGGAUUAGCUAGUUGGUGGGGUAAAGGCCUACCAAGGCGACGAUCCGUAACUGGUCUGAGAGGAUGAUCAGUCACACUGGAACUGAGACACGGUCCAGACACCUACGGGAGGCAGCAGUGGGGAAUAGUGGACAAUGGGCGAAAGCCUGAUCCAGCAAUGCCGCGUGUGUGAAGAAGGUCUUCGGAUUGUAAAGCACUUUAAGUUGGGAGGAAGGGAAGUAAGUUAAUACCUUGCUGUUUUGACGUUACCAACAGAAUAAGCACCGGCUAACUUCGUG